AGGACGAACGCUGGCGGCGUGCUUAACACAUGCAAGUCGAACGGAAAGGCCCUUCGGGGUACUCGAGCGGCGAACGGGUGAGUAACACGUGAGCAAUCUGCCCUUAGCUCCGGGAUAGCUCCGGGAAACCGGAAUUAAUACCGGAUACGACCACAGCCGACAUCUGCUGUGGUGGAAAGGAUUCCGGCUAAGGAUGGGCUCGCGGCCUAUCAGCUAGUUGGUGGAGUAACGGCCCACCAAGGCGACGACGGGUA
rnacentral:rRNA from 1 species